CCAGAAUCCAUGAUCGAUCUAGUCAUUUGCAGCAUUGGGAUGUGAGUUCCUAACAUGAUGAGCAGCUGGUGUAGUGUUUCUUUUUGAUGGAUAACCAUGGAGUUUGUAGUAGACUUUUGCAGUAUGUAUACCCUCUUUGAUAGGUUAUGUGGGCCUGUUGGAGGAAGAAUAGUUAUUGGAACCUGUGUGUGUUAUAACUUCUUUAUGGUAAUGUGAUUUGACUUUGUGAGCAGCAUGACUCAUCCCAGGAUCGAUAUCAAUGGUCCUGAGCAUGGGUGGGGGAUUCCUCGUGCAUAGGUGUUGUUAUUUCUUUUAUUUCAAGUAAGGCUCUAUCUAAACAUCGUCACACCUUGUGGCUUUUGCCAUGUUUAGUGUUACUUAUAAUAAUAUUUUCCUUUGCUGAUAAAAAAAAUAAUAAAAAUCACUGUGAUUUAAGGCUCGGCUGGUUUUGGUGUCAUCAACAAAGUCAAUAAGGUAAUAGCCAACAAGAGAGUUUAAUUUAGACCCUCCGAGCAGUAUAACUAAAUCCAUUGAGCUUAAUUGAACUUGAGUGUGAUUACUGAUUGAGUAUUUAUGGUAGGGAUAUUGGUGGUUUCAUCAGAUGAGGAAGUCAUGGUGGAAGAGGUAUGAAUCAAAUGCUGUUAAGCCAAGGCAAUUGACACAUAUGGAGUAAAUUAUCAUGGGAGUUCUCAUUUUUAUUUCUUUGUUAUUAUUAUAGCUAGAGUAAAUUUGAUAAGAGAUAAGAUGUAUCCUAAUCUAGACUAAAGCUGCAAGCCUGCAACAAUUAGAUAAGAUCUACGUUUAAAUUACAAGAUAAGAUAUUAAUAGAUAAGAUCUUCAUUUUUAGAUUACGGAAUCAUGUUUAUCCCUUAUCUAUUUAGUUAGCCAUAAUUAUGAUGUGUUCAGUUAGGAUUCUAUAUCCAUUUAGUUGCAGUAGCUUCUUCUCUUGUUAUAUAAUAAAUAUGUGAUGAGUUCUUUGUACCUGCAUGGAGCCGCUCGAUAUGGAUAUGGAUCCUGACUUCAGGCAAUUAGGGAAGGAUAGUGACCGUGAUUUCAUGGACUCAACUAGUGAUUACGGUACAUGAGGGAACACAGGAAUCUUCCUUAUCUAGUGAUGAUGGGGAAUCUGUCAAUUCUCAGGGUUACUUUUUUUAGUAUCUUGAACUGGAGACCCUCUCAGAAGUUGUGAUUUACAAGCAUCAAGUUGGAUAUCUGUAGCCUGCUUUGAGUCUUUGACAUUCAGUUUUUACAGAUGAACAAGGGAAUGACUUGUUCUUCUUUUUGCUUGUAUGCAUCCAAUUUGCAGGAUACCAACCGAUCCAACAAUGAAAGAUCUUGGAUUCUUGAUGCCUUCUUUCUGACAUAUCAUUCCCAUUAUGAACCCGUGGGAGCUAUGCAUUUUUUCUUUCUUUCAAGUUCACAAAGAAAGAGUAUCGGCCACGGUGCCAUCACAUCCUACUGACAUGGACAGUGUCCAUAAAAUGUCUUGCUUCAUACAAGUUCAAAGGAUCUCUGGAUUCAUAAUGAUUGGUGGAUAUGAAUGUCAAUUAGCUAGCUCUCUUCUGUAGGCAACUGGUUAAGGGUUCCUUUGCUGACAACUGAUUAAGACUGCUUCAGGUCAGCCGUUGAUGAUGUUAAGGUGACCGUAGCUAUAAAAUACUUACUUCUGCUGUUUAAGAACUGAACCUUAGUAUUUGCCAGUCCCUCCUUUGGUCCAUUUCUUAGAUGUCACACUUGCUGGAAUCAGAGUAAAUCACAAAUUCAACAGAAGGAAAAAGGGAAAAAAAAUGGUAAGCUCUCUGUCCUUUGCAAUUCCUUGCAUUGUUUCCUGCCGUAAUAAGUGGAAGAAUCAUAAAAGUAAUGGUAAAGCAGCGAAGCUCGGCAGAGUUGAGGCUAUGUCAGCAUGUGUUCAUGGUGGAUACUGGAUAUACAGAUUAACGAGCCAGCUUCACAAGGUUGGUUGAUACAUGUUAUGAGGUUUUUUGUUUGCUAACAUCAAUGAGCCCUGCAUGGAUUGCUUCUUGUUGAUUUCCAACAAUAUUAAUGUUGGUAUGGUUUUGUUAAAGAGAACAACAGGCUACAUUUUUUUCUGUCCUGGUUGGGAAAUUUUACUGUAUAGGAGCUAGGUGGACUCACGUUUCUUAGCUGCAUUACCUGUAGAACUCUUCUGUUGAUUUACUAUACCAAUGAAGGGUUCCUUUUCUUUCGAUAA